AUUGAACGCUGGCGGCAGGCCUAACACAUGCAAGUCGAGCGGCAGCGGGAAAGUAGCUUGCUACUUUUGCCGGCGAGCGGCGGACGGGUGAGUAAUGCCUGGGAAAUUGCCCAGUCGAGGGGGAUAACAGUUGGAAACGACUGCUAAUACCGCAUACGCCCUACGGGGGAAAGCAGGGGACCUUCGGGCCUUGCGCGAUUGGAUAUGCCCAGGUGGGAUUAGCUAGUUGGUGAGGUAAUGGCUCACCAAGGCGACGAUCCCUAGCUGGUCUGAGAGGAUGAUCAGCCACACUGGAACUGAGACACGGUCCAGACUCCUACGGGAGGCAGCAGUGGGGAAUAUUGCACAAUGGGGGAAACCCUGAUGCAGCCAUGCCGCGUGUGUGAAGAAGGCCUUCGGGUUGUAAAGCACUUUCAGCGAGGAGGAAAGGUCAGUAGCUAAUAUCUGCUGACUGUGACGUUACUCGCAGAAGAAGCACCGGCUAACUCCGUGCCAGCCGCCGCAGUAAAAC
rnacentral:rRNA from 1 species